AGGCUGCAAAGCGCUGAUACAGAGCUACUGAAAAGCCACACCACCGAGAGGGAAGGAAAGAAUGCCCAGAUGGUGAACCAAUGAGGGGUGAGCUAACCUUCUAACAACAAAAUUUAGCAUUUCUAAUCCCAACUGGCUGAUUGGCCUGCAGGCUGUGGCGCCUCAGAUGUGCAAAAAGCCUCCUGUCGGCCUGCAGCUUUCACACACACGGAGGGAAUUCAAAAUGCCACAGUGAUGAGCGCUGGUGGUGCUGUGCUUGUGGCCCCGGCCCCACCUGAUGGUGAAUCUGUGUGCACUAGAGCUUGUAAUUACAGAAGGAGGUGGUGGUAAUAGAGAGUAGCGUACAGGCAAACACAAGCAGACAGCUGGCCCCUGUCAGUCUUACAGCUCAUACAUCGGGGACAUGCUCUGAUUUUAGUGAUGCUCUGAAACUUAAGAGCAGAUUACUGGCCAUGUAUGGACAGAAAAUGCUGUGGGAUAGAUGAUAAUUAUAGGGAUGCUUACAGAGAUAGAGUUACUGAUGCAUUUCAUGAUGCAGGCACUUUCACAAAGCUCUGUAGAAAUAUGUUACCUCUCACUUUCAGUAUUGCUUUGAUGUUUUGGAUAUUGGCUACAUGAUGAGGCCACUUAUGCAUGAGAGAAAAAUGGCAGCCACCACAUGUAAUCCUUAGAAACUAACUGGCAGGAUUUAAAAUGGCGUGUACUGAUACAGUGAAAAGACAUAUAUACGCUGGUGACCAAACAAGAAAACUCUGAAGCCAUGCUUGCAGCACUUUAAGCUGUGUACUAGCUUUGGUUUGCUAUAAUGUCAACCAUGGCGAUGCAUACCUUAUAUUUGGCAGGGAUGAAUUUUAACAUUACCAUCUCUGUUUGCCAUAUAAUGCAUGGAAACAGUAAUUGAUUAGCAUUAUACAAAUAUCACAGGUGAUGUUUGGAGUGUCAUUGGUCGAGCUUUUAUCUGGCCUGUUGGGAAGAUUAUAGUUUUGACUUGGUGAUGAGAUGACACUGCACAUAAAAUUAGGCAACCCACAUAGUUGUUAUAUUUGGAUAAAGAUCCAAAGAUGUAAACCUCAUAGUGGUGCAAAGGAGAACUCAAGGAGAGCCAUCAGGAUUAUUUCUGCAUAUAUUUCUGCAAGGACUGCUGGCAUUAGGGCCACUUCUGUAACUGCUGUAAACACCUGUUUUUAUUUUCCUAAGUAUAAUAUCAGGAAAUGGUUGUGUCUUGCAUUAGAGUCACCUCCUUAACUGUGCAAAUAUUAAAGAAUUUGAUUUUGUUUGAAUUUAUGUGAUUUUUCUGUUGACAUUUUCUUUGCACUCAAUCACUCCUGUAUUACUCCUGUAGGUGACCCAUGCUAUAUUGUGGUUUGUGGUUGUCUGUUUUCUUCGUUUUGGUUGAUGUCACUUUCACACAGUUUCUUGGGUAUUUUAACGGCCCUUCGAGCUCCUGCGUGUUUUUCAUCUUCUCAGCUCAUUUUCUUGCUGUGGUCGGCAGUAAAUAACUGAAUCAAACGUUUUGUGCUCUUCAGAUAAAUUGUGAGCAAGACUGAAAAUGCCUUCCACAUUGUCUUUUGAUAUCAAAACUGAUCAGUUUCGUCAGUUACUGUCGCCUGAAAGAGGUGUGAUAACAACUUGACAAAUGUGCAGGACUCCUUUCUGUUUAUUGAUUUGACAUUUUUAGCAAUCUGGCUACCCAUGGUGUCAUUGUUGCAUUUCAAACUGAAUAACUAUUGUUAUGUUUUUGUAAUUUUUAAUUUUUGUUGUUAUUUUGAUGGGACAGCCAGAGAGAGAAGUAAUGUAGAUGGGGGUAUAUGGCUCGCACCAAAUGAUACCAGGACCAGGAAUCCAUACUGAUGAUGGCACCCCAAAUGUUCUCAUUGGGUUCUGAACAAUCAGAAUCAAGUUUUAAGCACAGCCAACUGGUAAGUAAGAGAGCUCAGUGAUAACAUUUUAAAAAUUUCGCCCUCAUAUGGCGACCCUGGCUGCACCCUUCCAGGAAGUGAAGCUCAGGUCCGGAGUUUUUUCAUAUUCCUGCUAACAGAGAGAGGAAUAAACAAAUAACACACAAAUGACCAAAAAGGCACCACAGAAAACACAUCCUCUUUGGCGUCAGUAAUAUACUGCAUUACCUUACAGUCUUAUGGCAUUAUCCACUGAAAGACCAUGUUAGCUCUGAACCUGAGUGAAGUGCAUGGAUUGUCUGCUUUCCAAGUCAGUUUUAAUGCUUGCCCAUCAAUGCCAAGUGUUCAUUAGCAUCUCAAAUACCUAGUUUGAGCUAACAUUUUUUCAACAGUGCUGUAUGUUGGCUUAGUACUUUACAGCUUAUGGAAAUCAAUGUGUAUGUUUGAGCAUAUGAAAAAAAGAGAUAAAGAGCAGGAAGUAAACGGAGAGACUCACUGACAAACAAACAGACAGACACACAGAAAGAGCCCUGUAACUGUAGCUUUUCCAUGUCUCUUAAUCCUAAAAGCCUCUGUUCUUCUCGGGUGGUGGAGAGAGGGCGGGACUGUUGUCAGGACCAGUUAUGUGUAACACUGUGGGCCCACAGAAUGUGUCUGGCUCUUCAUUGGUAAGGCAGUCAGGUAGGACGCUGCUGGGCCUCUCCAGAAGAGCCUCGGUGCACGGUUUCCGCCCGCAGUGAAAGGAUCGAGACAAAGUGAUGUGUCUGUUGCCGGGUGACUCACAAAAAGAACCCAGGGUGCAUUUCUAAAAAAAGGGAGGGUGGAAGCACUGUGGCAGAGUAAAACAAAUACUGGCCUCCAUCCCUGCCUGCCUCAGUCUUCUCACAGCCGAGUAGGAAUGUGGAAGUCGACGAGGGAGAGUUUGAAGGGAAAAUUAAGCCAGAGUGUCCCUGCCGAACCAGCUUAUCCUGAGAUGUAAGAAUAUCUAGAAGAGCUGCAUCAAAACACAACAGUGAAGGUCAAAUCAGCCACUGACAGUUUUACCCAAGCAACAUAUUUAGUCAAAUUCCAGAGUAAAGGACUCGCAAUUAAGUUGUAAGCUGAAACAUCCCUCUCAUUUCUGAAGAUCAUCUCAGUGAAAUGUUGAGCAGGACCAGAUUCAUGAUGAGCCAUAUUUAUCCAUCCUUUGUCAGAGUGUAAUGAUUUUCGACCCCGUCAUGAUUUAUUUAUAGCAGCCUGAACUACAGAUAAAUGUGAAAUGUCAUUUCCAAUGUACACAAUAAAAAGUCAAUCAAAAAAGAAAUGCUUGUUUUGCGUGACUGAUGACAGAGCUGCCGUAUAUGGAAUACACAACCAUUACGUGUAAUUAGUUGAGCUAUUGCUGAGGUUGGCACACAGUUACUCAAAAAUUUAACUCCAUUAUUAGGAGGCUAUGCUCUCUGGAUUUCUUUAUCAUUUCCUUGAAGUAAUACUCACCAUACUAAUCAUUUUGCACUGCAGAUGCAGUAGAUCUUCGGUCUUUGCGUCUUGGUCUGAUUGCAUUUCCAUAAAGAAAUCAUAAUUGUUCCUCUUCGAGCUGCGUCACCCCGCAGCAGUCUGUAAUAGACUGGCCUGAGGUCUCUACAAACAAGCGGCUGCUGCAAGAGAGUAGGUGAGUUGUGUUUAGUCUUUUUGCUAAAAAAAUCAGGCAAAGUUAAAAAGAUGUUUGGUGGCUAAUGCUUGGCUCCGACCCUAUAUGCACUGUUGAUGAAGUUAGGGGCUGUUCUGAGCAUUAUUUGUGGCUAUAGAGUGGCUUUUUGGUUGAGGUUUGUGUGUGGUUCCAUAGACCGCUGUGUAUUGCUUUCGUGUGGUCAUUACUAAAGUUGGAGAAGCAAGCAGUCGGCAACAUUCAUCUCUUGAGGGGGUGUCUAACUCGGUGUUACAGAAUGUUUGACCAUAAACGAGUUUUACGCCGGAAUAUCCCUUUAAGUAUCAUAAUCAAAAAGUCUGUUUAGAUGGACAAUAUUUUUCUUUUUAAUUGACUCUAUCUGAUUUUAGUUAAUUUCCGCUUGUACUUCCGUUAUUUUUCCAGUAGGCUACUGUUUAGAGAAAAUCCAACGUCAAAUGGCAGCAGUUUUAUAAUACGCCUAUUUAAUUGGUUGUACGUGAGUCAUGUCACAUUUUCUGUGUUGUGAUUGGCUAAGGGGCGGGCGCUUCGGAUUCGUUACGGCCGGGUGAAAGCUCAAGAAACGCGUAUUGGAAGUUUAUUAAAAUUUCAUCUAGGAGUGAUUUCAGGCUGAAAUAGUAAUUCAAAGUUGUAAUCCUGUAAAACUGUGUUGUGAACGGCUGAUUAGGGAAGCGACGGAUGUAUGUGCUGCCGCGAAAUGAGUAACUGACAGUAGCUUAGUAGCUAGUAGUGUUGUUAGCAUGGUGCUAACUAGCCUCCGGAGCCUGAUGACGCAGUACGUUGUAAACGGCUCAGGUGCGCCGGAAGAAAACCUGGGAGCUCAUUCAGUACCUGAGGAGGAAGAGGAGACUAUCUGGUGGUUCACCAUGGUCAACAACCAACCUGCCAGUUUAAUCCACCACAUAGGGGAGAGUGGGAUUUUUCAUAUUUCAGAUCACUACAUCAAGUCAAUCAUGUUUUUGUCUCUAUCUAGUGUAUCUGGAUUUAUUUCAAGAUGUUGUGCAUCCCUGACUGCAUGACUGUCUUGAUAAUAUAGCAUGACAAAAAAGUGGUCUCCUAUGAUCAACUUACCCCAUGGGGUCAACUUACCCCAUGGGGUAAGUUGACCAUAGGAGCAGGGUAGGUUGAGAGGUAUCCCUACUCUCCACCCCAGCCUUCUCUCACCACCUCUCUCCCUAAAUAACAGUCACUUCUUCACAUUAUUAGUCCUCUAAGCUAAAAUGGUGGACUCUGGGUUUUUGACCUCAUGUUGUAGCUCAUAGAUACCACAAUUGAUGUAUAAAACAAGUUUUAAAAUGAUCUUUCUUUGGUCUGAACACAAUUCUUAAGAAACUCAUUAUAGACUUAAUUCACUUUCAAGAGUGAAAAAUGAUUUUUUUUUUUUUUUUUGGAAAUAAAUGUCUAACUCCUUCACCCAUGUGCUUCUAAUCUUCACAGACUCCAUGAAUUGAUGCCCAUCUCCUAAAUAUUUGGUCACAUGAUCAAUUUCUUUUACCAUUUCCAAGCAACAGGGGGUGGCUCAACUUACCCCACUCUCCCCUAGAGAUGAAGAGCCCUAUCAUCUAAAUUCUGCAAUU